rnacentral:rRNA from 1 species
UACGUAGGGGGCAAGCGUUGUCCGGAUUCAUUGGGCGUAAAGAGCGUGUAGGCGGCCAGGUAGGUCGGUUGUGAAAACUGGAGGCUCAACCUUCAGAGGUCGACCGAAACCAUCUGGCUAGAGUCCGGGAGAGGAGAGUGGAAUUCCUGGUGUAGCGGUGAAAUGCGCAGAUAUCAGGAGGAACACCGAUGGCGAAGGCAGGUCUCUGGGCCACUACUGACACUGAGAAGCGAAAGCAUGGGGGAGCGAACAGG